rnacentral:rRNA from 1 species
ACGGAGGCGCGCGAUGGUAGGCUCAAGCCGGUCGGACAUCGGCUGUUGAGUGCAAUGGCAUAAGCCUGCCUGACUGUGAGAUCGACAGAUCGAGCAGAGACGAAAGUCGGUCAUAAUGAUCCACAAGUACUGCGUGGAAAGGCUUGUGCUUAACGAAUCAAAGAUACGCCAGGGAUAACAGGCUGAUAAUUCCCUAGAGUCCAUAUCGACGGAAUUGUUUGGCACCUCGAUGUUGACUGAUCAUAUCCUGGGGCUGAAGAAGGUCCCAAGGGUUCGGCUGUUCGCCGAGUAACAUGGUACCUGAGUUGAGUUUAGAACGUCGUGAGACAGUUUGGAUUCUACCUGGGGUGCGCGUAAGAAUUGAGAAAACCACAUCCUUGUACGAGAGGACCGGAUGUGUACAACCUCUGGUAUAGUAAUUGUCCGGCCACGGGCAUGGUUACUACGCUACGUUGUGAAAGGAUAAGUACUGAAAGCAUAUCAAGUACGAAACUUUUUUCAAGACAUAUUCUUUAUCGUAUUGUAUAUCGUACAAGUUGAGUACGUUAAUAGAUAAGCUGUGUAUUAUUUGUAAAAAUAGAAGCAUCCUUAUACUAAAC